rnacentral:rRNA from 1 species
CAGCCGCCGCGGGAAUACGAAGGGGGCUAGCGUUGUUCGGAUUUACUGGGCGUAAAGCGCACGUAGGCGGACUUUUAAGUCAGGGGUGAAAUCCCGGGGCUCAACCCCGGAACUGCCUUUGAUACUGGAAGUCUUGAGUAUGGUAGAGGUGAGUGGAAUUCCGAGUGUAGAGGUGAAAUUCGUAGAUAUUCGGAGGAACACCAGUGGCGAAGGCGGCUCACUGGACCAUUACUGACGCUGAGGUGCGAAAGCGUGGGGAGCAAACAGGAUUAGAUACCCGCGUAGUCCCUGUCUCUUAUCU